UCUAGUCAAAAUAUAGCAGGAGUCUUAACAAAAGUACAACGAAGGGUUUCUCCAUACUUCUCCAAGAUUCAGUCCUAUUAAGGAAAACAAAACUAUAGGGUGAGCUAAACGCUCGUGAGGCCAAGAACACACAUGCAAGCACAUUUACCAAAUAGCAAUCCCAAGUUUAACAAAUAAAACCAUGUCCUUUCAAUAAUCAAUCAUUCGAACAGGAAAAGUAAUCAGAAAUAAUUCAAGGAUAUAGUAGCUCUCAAGAGUUAAGUUCCACUCGCUCUGCCGAUGUCAUUCGUAUACCUUCCCGCGUUGACCCUCCUGUCAACCGGGUCGGUAUUUCCAUUACCGUAGAUCACCACUUACUUCCCUCCGUCCACCGUACACCCCAAGGGCCCACAAGUCUUUUAUAAGGCGAUACUCUACGAGUAUGCCAAGCAAGACCUCUCAUUAGGUCGAGCUUAUAUAUAUCUCAUGGCUCGCGCAAGUCCCCGACCAAGCCCAUUGCCGGCUCGAGUCUAAGGUCGGCCUAUGAGUUUGGGCGUCCCCCAUUCAUUUGAAAGUCGAGGAGGUUCACUCCAACGACAUAUGUAAUUAUAACAUAACAUUUCAUUUCAUCCAUUCAUUCAAUACAUUGCAUUCAUUCAAUACAUUUCAAUCAUUCAUUUGAAAUUAGAACGAGUGCGAUAAAGUACGCACCCGCCCUUAUUUUUAAAACUUCGAACAAUUACCACAAAUAAGCAAGUAUCAAAGAUUCACACACUUGACACUCACCGAACAAUUCAAUAAGAAUUGUUUUCUGGGAGUUCAAGUGUCCACAGUGAGAUCCUCUUGAAGGUCUCCUUGUGCGCUUGGCAAUUAAUAGCGGAUAAUCACACAAAUAAUCCACUUGUCACGGAAGAUUGUACACUAGUACAAUCUAAAAAUUAUUUCACAAAAGGAACCUCAAUUACUCGUAAAUCGAGGUUCAACUUGCCUUUUAUUAUGUACAAUAUUAUUUGAGUUUUUAUCAUGAAAAUCGAGGGCAAAACGUUUGAAUAAUACUAAGAGAAUUAAGAGUUUUGGAAAAACUCCUUUGCCUUGAAAAUUAAGAAAUUUCAGUUUUAUCCUAAAUGUUUGAAAAUUCGAAUCUCUCUCUAUAUAAGCCCAAAAUUGGUAAACUUUAUACCAUUGGAAACCUUUUGGAAAGUUUUAAAAGUUCUUAGAAGACACCUUUCCACGAAUCUAAGUGGAAAGUACUCAAAAAUGAGUUUGAAGAUACAGACUCGGCGUACAAGGCAGAAUUAAGUUGGAUUUCGGCCAACUUUGAAAAUUCGGCACGAUUAACACGUUGCAAACCAGCCUCUGAAAUUUGUCACUCAAGUAGAGUUGCAAGUGAGGUUUAUAACAAAACAAGCGGAUCAAGAAUCAGAGUUUCGAGUACCGAGAUAUGGUAGCUCGAAGUUGGGAAAAUUCAAGACUGGAGAAGAAUUUCCAGAUUUGAACCUCCAACACUAGAAAUUUAAUUAGGUAUCGAAACGAACUUGGAUUGGUACCAAAAUUGGCAGUACUUUACUCCUAUAUGAAAGGUACUGCCCUAUCAAAUUUCAGGGAAAAAUACCUUCGGAAAGAUAGUUAAUUAGUCAACCAAAGUUCAGGAAAAAUUCUAAGGCAAUCUGCCUUUUGACUUUCAUUUCCCAAUUUCAAAUCGUUUAACCAAGAAAACUAUCCAACCAUGGUUCAUUGGUGAAAUAAAAGUCUAAGAUACAUCCAUGAUACCUUUGGUAAGUGAUGAGUAUCAAGAACUUCAAUUAAUAAAAUCAUUCCCACGUUUUGCCCCAAAUCAGUCCAAAUACUACGUUUUUCCAAAACAGGGCAGUCCUCUUGUUUUAGUCACAACUCAAUCAAUUUAACUCGGAAUGAGGCAUGGUUUAUGGCGUUAGAAAACACAUUCAAGGGACUAAAAGUUCACAGAAGGAAAUGUUCUGAAAUUCGGCAAGCAACCAGCUCGAAAUUGAGCCUCAAGUUGCUGCCUCUACAAACCAUUCCAGCAAAUCCGAGAGACAGGACAGCCAUCUUAAAACGUUUGGUUCGGCUCACUCACAAAGAAUAAGAACGUGCAUUUUAUCUCAAAUUAAAGCCAGGAAUGUCUAGUUUCAAACGCCACCAACGGCACUUGAUUUCGACACCCGAGGACAGAGUUAUGGCAAAAAUGCUACCGCUGGACAGGGUUACCCGAAAAUAAUUUUCCAGCUUGCCUAGUUCACGAAUAAAUUCAUUUGCCCAUCUAAACGUUAAUGUUUUCCAACGAAAAUUUUUACACAUAUAGUAUAACAUAUAAACAUCAGGUUCAUGCCAAUAAAUCACCAAAAAUUGGCCUUAUAGUGGCCGAACAAAACAGGGGCAGUUUCGAAAAUUUCUUGUCAUGACCUCAACUUUGAGUUUCCAACAAUAAUACUUCAUAAAUCCAUCAUUAUAACCACUAAACUACCAUUAAAUCCAACAUUAAUCCUCUAAUCAACAACAACAACUCAAGUGUGGGAAUUCCAAGAGCCCACUAUCACAUUUUCUAACUAUAUCAAGCCAUCCAUACACAUGCAAUAGUUUAAAGAUGCAUUUCUACCAUCAUAAUCCAAGUUUAAGGUGUAGGAUGAAGUUAUACCUCCUUAGUGCCUUAACCCAGAAAUUUUCGGUCCUCAAGAGCUCCAAGAAACCGUGAAUUGCAGCCUUUUAGCUAGCUAGAUCCAACCUCCAAGUAGUUUGCUAGAUGAUCAUCAAGUUUGGUGAAGAUUGGUUGAAGUUUUGGGUUGAUUUGAUGAAGGAAUUUGUGAAGCAAGAGAGUGAGAGAGAGAGGGGUGUUGGCC
rnacentral:lncRNA from 1 species